AGUGAACGCUGGCGGCAGGCCUAACACAUGCAAGUCGAACGGCAGCACAGUCGUAGCAAUACGAUGGGUGGCGAGUGGCGGACGGGUGAGGAAUGCAUCGGAAUCUGCCUUGUUGUGGGGGAUAACGUAGGGAAACUUACGCUAAUACCGCAUGAGACCGAAAGGUGAAAGAGGGGGACCGCAAGGCCUCUCGCGACAAGAUGAGCCGAUGCCGGAUUAGCUAGUUGGUGGGGUAAAGGCCCACCAAGGCGACGAUCCGUAGCUGGUCUGAGAGGAUGAUCAGCCACACUGGAACUGAGACACGGUCCAGACUCCUACGGGAGGCAGCAGUGGGGAAUAUUGGACAAUGGGCGCAAGCCUGAUCCAGCCAUGCCGCGUGUGUGAAGAAGGCCUUCGGGUUGUAAAGCACUUUUGUUGGGGAAGAAAACCCUAUGGUUAAUACCUGUCGGGAAUGACGGUACCCAAAGAAUAAGCACCGGCUAACUUCGUGCCAGCAGCCGCGGUAAUACGAAGGGUGCAAGCGUUACUCGGAAUUACUGGGCGUAAAGCGUGCGUAGGCG
rnacentral:rRNA from 1 species